rnacentral:rRNA from 1 species
AGGGUUUGAUCCUGGCUCAGGAUGAACGCUAGCGACAGGCCUAACACAUGCAAGUCGAGGGGCAGCACGUCUUCGGAUGGUGGCGACCGGCGCACGGGUGAGUAACGCGUAUGCAACCUACCUGUAACUGGGGGAUAGCUCCCUGAAAGGGGAAUUAACACCGCAUAAGACCACGUUUUCGCAUGGAAAAGUGGUAAAAUAUUUAUAGGUUACAGAUGGGCAUGCGUGACAUUAGUUUGUUGGUGAGGUAACGGCUCACCAAGACUACGAUGUCUAGGGGUUCUGAGAGGAAGGUCCCCCACACUGGUACUGAGACACGGACCAGACUCCUACGGGAGGCAGCAGUGAGGAAUAUUGGUCAAUGGGCGCAAGCCUGAACCAGCCAUGUCGCGUGCAGGAAGACGGCCCUAUGGGUUGUAAACUGCUUUUGUAUGGGAAGAAAGUGUUCGACGUGUCGAAUAUUGCCGGUACCAUACGAAUAAGGAUCGGCUAACUCCGUGCCAGCAGCCGCGGUA